rnacentral:rRNA from 1 species
CCGCACAAGCGGUGGAGCAUGUGGUUUAAUUCGACGCAACGCGAAGACCUUACCUGGGCUUGACAUCCCGAUCGCACCUUAUGGAAACAUAGGGGUCUGUUCGGCUGGAUCGGUGACAGGUGCUGCAUGGCUGUCGUCAGCUCGUGUCGUGAGAUGUUGGGUUAAGUCCCGCAACGAGCGCAACCCUUGUCCUUAGUUGCCAGCAUUCAGUUGGGCACUCUAAGGAGACUGCCGGUGUCAAACCGGAGGAAGGUGGGGAUGACGUCAAGUCCUCAUGGCCCUUAUGUCCAGGGCUACACACGUGCUACAAUGGCCGGUACAAAGGGGCGCAAGACCGCGAGGUGGAGCAAAUCCCAAAAAACCGGUCUCAGUUCGGAUUGGAGUCUGCAACUCGACUCCAUGAAGUUGGAAUCGCUAGUAAUCGCGUAUCAGCAUGACGCGGUGAAUACGUUCCCGGGCCUU